GUGCUCGCUCAUGUAGCACAUAUACUAAACUUAGAAUCAUACAGAGAAGAUUAGCAUGGCCCCUGCACAAGGAUGACAUGUAAAUUCAUGAAGUGUCCCAUAUUAAA
ensembl:snRNA Gm23058 U6 spliceosomal RNA